rnacentral:rRNA from 1 species
AACGAACGCUGGCGGCGCGCCUAAUACAUGCAAGUCGAGCGAGAAGACGUAGCAAUACGUUUGUAAAGCGGCGAACGGGUGAGGAAUACAUGGGUAACCUACCCUCGAGUGGGGAAUAACUAGCCGAAAGGUUAGCUAAUACCGCGUACGCUCCUUGGACUUCGGUUCAGGGAGGAAAGCGAUACCGUGGGUAUCGCGCUCUUGGAUGGGCUCAUGUCCUAUCAGCUUGUUGGUGAGGUAACGGCUCACCAAGGCUUCGACGGGUAGCUGGUCUGAGAGGACGAUCAGCCACACUGGCACUGCGACACGGGCCAGACUCCUACGGGAGGCAGCAGUAAGGAAUAUUGCGCAAUGGGCGAAAGCCUGACGCAGCGACGCCGCGUGGGGGAUGAAGGUCUUCGGAUUGUAAA